rnacentral:rRNA from 1 species
UACGUAGGGGGCGAGCGUUGUCCGGAAUUAUUGGGCGUAAAGAGCUCGUAGGCGGUCUGUCGCGUCGAUCGUGAAAACUUGGGGCUUAACCCUGAGCUUGCGGUCGAUACGGGCAUGACUGGAGUUCGGCAGGGGAGACUGGAAUUCCUGGUGUAGCGGUGAAAUGCGCAGAUAUCAGGAGGAACACCGGCGGCGAAGGCGGGUCUCUGGGCCGAUACUGACGCUGAGGAGCGAAAGCGUGGGGAGCGAACAGG